rnacentral:rRNA from 1 species
AUGAUUUUAAUAGUCUGGCCCUGCUGUAGAAAACAGUUUACAUACAUGCCUGGAUGUGUUCGAGAUGCAUUGCAGUGUGUACUCAUAGGUGGUCGUGAAGGGCGACUAAAAGUAAUCCAUCAUCACAUCAAGUUUCUGGAAUUCUGGGGAUCGAAAUCAGAUCGAGAUGCCAAUGUCCUGUAUGUUGCUUCAGUUAUAUGGCUUGAGCUGGUCAAUCUGCAAGAUGAUGCAAAAAAUUGCUUGCAGAUAGUCUGUAUGUAUGUGUACAGACAUGCAUGUUGUAUGUUUAUAUCAAUUUUGCAAAUUGACAUUUGUUCAGAUGCUUCUAAGUAG